AUUGAACGCUGGCGGCAGGCCUAACACAUGCAAGUCGAGCGGAUGAAGGGAGCUUGCUCCUGGAUUCAGCGGCGGACGGGUGAGUAAUGCCUAGGAAUCUGCCUGGUAGUGGGGGAUAACGUCCGGAAACGGGCGCUAAUACCGCAUACGUCCUGAGGGAGAAAGUGGGGGAUCUUCGGACCUCACGCUAUCAGAUGAGCCUAGGUCGGAUUAGCUAGUUGGUAGGGUAAAGGCCUACCAAGGCGACGAUCCGUAACUGGUCUGAGAGGAUGAUCAGUCACACUGGAACUGAGACACGGUCCAGACUCCUACGGGAGGCAGCAGUGGGGAAUAUUGGACAAUGGGCGAAAGCCUGACCCAGCCAUGCCGCGUGUGUGAAGAAGGUCUUCGGAUUGUAAAGCACUUUUAGUUGGGAGGAAGGGCAGUAAGUUAAUACCUUGCUGUUUUGACGUUACCAACAGAAUAAGCACCGGCUAACUUCGUG
rnacentral:rRNA from 1 species